rnacentral:rRNA from 1 species
UACGAACUGUGCGAACGUUAUUCGGAAUCACUGGGCUUACAGGGUGCGUAGGCGGCCCGAUAAGUCCGCUGUGAAAGUCCAGGGCUCAACCCUGGGAUGCCGGUGGAUACUGUCGGGCUCGAGUCCGGAAGAGGCGAGUGGAAUUCCUGGUGUAGCGGUGAAAUGCGCAGAUAUCGGGAGGAACACCAAUUGCGAAGGCAGCUUACUACAGGGAUAUUGACACUGAGGCACGAAAGCGUGGGGAUCAAAAAGG